UGGUAACAAUGAGAAGAGGGCACGUCCCGGGUAAUGGGGGUGUCACCUUUUCGAGGCAUCACUCCUUGAAGAUGUCUUGGAUGCUGGGGAGGCUAACGACCAUGAGGGAUCUCAGUGGCUAAAGAUAUUUGGCUGAGAGGCAGCACAGAACAAAGGAGCAACACACACAAAAUAACACAGGAAUUCAGCAGGCAAACAUCUGAUGAUUGGACAGCAAAGCAAAAAUGAAGUCAAUAAUAGAUCCAGCUAUGAUUUUAUUCAAUAGCAGAGAAGACCUCAUGAGCUGAUUGGCCUUGAACCACUCCAGUUCCUUAUUUUCUCAUACCUAUAA